UUAUGGACUCAAUUUCCUAAUUAGAAGCCAGUUACUGUUCAAGUAAAAAAUUUUCUUUCCUUUUAGUCGAUACGGUGGUCUAGGAGUGCACAUCCCGAACACACACGCUGUCUACGACGUGUGGAUUGUGGAAGUGGGCAGCAACAAUUCAAAGAAUCGAGUGGAAAACGAGAAGAGAAAAGUGUAUUCCAAAUGAAAGAGCCUUAGGUGCUCCACGGACCAAGCACUGCAUUUCUUCAUAAUGAAAUUGAGAAGACCAUCAAGAAUAAUAGCCUUGACAAUCUCAGCAAAAUCUAGAAGGCCACCAGUAGAGUCAUAAGGCAACAUCAUUGCAACAGAAUAUCGUGUUCCAUGGAAGGAAAUGGUUUUUCACAACUAUACAAUGCUUCAGUUUUGGUGUGCUUCUAUAAUAGAGUUCUGGAUGCAAAACAUGGACUGACACUGAAGACACUUUUGAGACACACAAGAGCCUUAAUUGUGUGCCUGCUCCUGUUGCCAUGGGAAAAGCCUUGAGAAAUAACUUAAGCCAAAACUCUGUCAGCAUGCUAGAUGGAACUCAAAUAACACAAACUGGCAUAGUGGAUCCUAAGAAAUAUUUCGAAUGAGUCUCUCUUUUCCUAUUUGUUUUUGGCUACAUCAGCGCAGAGCCAAAAGAGUAUCCAUCCUCGCCAAACUACAGGUCUAUUCAGACUCCUAAAUGCUGCAAUACUAGAACAGAACAAACAAAGCAACAUUAGAACAGCAGUAGAAGAUGAAAGGUUAUGCUGUAAACCCACGGUCAUUUUAUGCCUCAUCAACAACCCUUCCCAGCAUUCCCACAAGAUCAUCCAAUCAAUAUGAAGA